rnacentral:rRNA from 1 species
UACGUAGGGAGCGAGCGUUGUCCGGAUUCAUUGGGCGUAAAGCGUGCGCAGGCGGUGAUGUAAGACAGUUGUGAAAUCCCCGGGCUCAACCUGGGAACUGCAUCUGUGACUGCAUCGCUGGAGUGCGGCAGAGGGGGAUGGAAUUCCGCGUGUAGCAGUGAAAUGCGUAGAGAUGCGGAGGAACACCGAUGGCGAAGGCAGCCCCCUGGGGUAACACUGACGCUCAUGCACGAAAGCGUGGGGAGCAAACAGG